rnacentral:rRNA from 1 species
UACAGAGGGGGCAAGCGUUGUUCGGAAUUACUGGGCGUAAAGGGCGCGUAGGCGGCCUGUUAAGUCGGACGUGAAAUCCCUCGGCUCAACCGGGGAACUGCGUCCGAUACUGGCGGGCUUGAAUUCGGGAGAGGGAUGUGGAAUUCCAGGUGUAGCGGUGAAAUGCGUAGAUAUCUGGAGGAACACCGGUGGCGAAGGCGGCAUCCUGGACCAACACUGACGCUGAGUGAGCGAAAGCCAGGGGAGCAAACGGG